AGUGAACGCUGGCGGUAGGCCUAACACAUGCAAGUCGAACGGCAGCACAGUAAGAGCUUGCUCUUACGGGUGGCGAGUGGCGGACGGGUGAGGAAUACAUCGGAAUCUACUUUUUCGUGGGGGAUAACGUAGGGAAACUUACGCUAAUACCGCAUACGACCUACGGGUGAAAGCAGGGGAUCUUCGGACCUUGCGCGAUUGAAUGAGCCGAUGUCGGAUUAGCUAGUUGGCGGGGUAAAGGCCCACCAAGGCGACGAUCCGUAGCUGGUCUGAGAGGAUGAUCAGCCACACUGGAACUGAGACAAGGUCCAGACUCCUACGGGAGGCAGCAGUGGGGAAUAUUGGACAAUGGGCGCAAGCCUGAUCCAGCCAUACCGCGUGGGUGAAGAAGGCCUUCGGGUUGUAAAGCCCUUUUGUUGGGAAAGAAAAGCAGCAGGUUAAUACCCCGCUGUUCUGACGGUACCCAAAGAAUAAGCACCGGCUAACUUCGU
rnacentral:rRNA from 1 species